GCGGGAAUCGAACCCAUAACCUUCUGCUUACGGGGCAGGUGCCAUGUCCACUAGGCU
rnacentral:tRNA from 1 species